CUCACAAAUCCACCAUAAUUCUAAAUUAUUUCAUCAAAUUUAUUUAUUCAUUAUAAUAAAUUGAUCCACUAAGGUCAAUAAUUGAGAUUCAUAAAAAACAUGCCAGAAUUGAUUAUUUUACUAUUAGACAAAAGUAGUAAAAAAUAAUAAUUACCAAAAGAGUAUUCAUUUUUUUUAAACAAUUGAAGAUAUAUAAAAUAUGUUUAUUUAUAUGCCAUAGAUUUUUUAUUUAUAUUUGAAAAGUAUUGAAUGAAUUAAAAAAUAAUAAAAUCGUGGCAGCUUCACGGGAUGUUCCUACUCAAAAGACAUCUACCAUUAUUAUUGAUUAUAGAGAAAGAUAUGCUGUUUAUACCUCAUCAGAAACAUCGACAUCAUCAGGGGUAGCUGUUAUUGAUAAUGAGGAAUUGACUAGUGAAUUAAAUCAACAAAUUACUAGUAAAAAAUCAAAUAUAAUCAGUGAAGAUGAGGAAGCUUUUUCACAAUUGACUUUGACGUACACUGACAGUAUUCCACUAAGACAAAGGCUGACUUUGAUUGGUUGGGAUAGUUUUCGUUCAAAUGCCAUAGUAGCAUUAAUUAUUCUCUUUAUAUUAUGGGCAAUCAUCUAUUUUGUAAUAAUUAAUUUAAUUUAAUUAUAUUAAA